AUUUUUUUAGGCCUUUCAAUUUCAGUUGGUACAAGUCCAUCUGGUAAAUCAAAAUAAUUGGUCCAUUUAGAACAUGUUUGACAUAGAACCAAGAACAUUCAAAGAGAAAAAGGAACAAAAUUUUCAAAACUCUUAUUAAAUAAUAAAUUCUUGAUAAUAAUCAUAGUAAGCUCUUUCUAGGAAAAUGCGUAGCUAAAUUACAUAAAGUAUUUAUAAACAAAUGAUUA
rnacentral:misc_RNA from 1 species